rnacentral:tRNA from 1 species
UAUCGUAUGGUCUAGUGGUUACGGUGUCCGUCUCGCAGGCGGAAGACCCAGGUUCGACUCCUGGUGCGCGAU